CUUCUGAUCUCUUCAUUUAGAUUAGUCUAAAGUGAAGAAAAUAUAAAGUGAAAGAAAUAAGAGUUUCCACUAAUAGAAAAAUAAAAGUAAUUUAAUUGGUUAGAUCUGUUAUUUCAUCUACAUUUUCUAAUUUUAGUGUUACAGUUAGAGCAAAAGAGCAAAGAAAUUUGAAGAUGAGGAGCUUGUGGUGGUCUUUAUUGGUAGUGCAAAUCUUAUUCUUAUUAGGUUUUUCCAAUGGGGAAAGUCCAUAUAGGUGGUAUAAUUGGAAUAUUACAUAUGGUGAUAUUUAUCCUCUUGGUGUUAAGCAACAGGGUAUAUUGAUAAAUGGGCAAUUUCCAGGACCUCAAAUUGAUAGUGUUACUAAUGAUAACUUGAUUAUCAAUGUUUUCAACAGUUUGGAUGAACCUUUUUUGUUGUCAUGGAAUGGAAUUCAACAGAGGAGGAACUCAUGGCAAGAUGGAGUAUAUGGGACUAACUGUCCGAUCCCACCAGGCCAAAACUUCACAUAUGUUCUACAAGUUAAGGACCAGAUUGGAAGUUUCUUUUAUUUCCCUUCAUUGGCUAUGCACAAAGCUGCUGGAGGCUAUGGUGGCAUUAUAAUACGUAGUCGUCCGCUGAUUCCUAUUCCUUUUCCUCCACCUACUGGGGAUUACACUAUAUUGGUUGGUGACUGGUUCAAGCAAAAUCACACUGAUCUCAAGGCAAUUUUAGAUGGAGGAAAUGAUCUUCCCUUCCCUGAUGGCCUUCUAGUGAACGGUCGUGGAUCAAAUGGUUUAACUUUCACAGUUGAUCAAGGUAGGACCUACAGAUUCAGGAUUUCCAAUGUUGGCCUCACUACCGCUAUAAAUUUUAGAAUCCAGGGGCACAAGAUGGUCUUAGUUGAAGCGGAAGGGACUCACACACUGCAGAACACCUAUGAGUCACUUGAUAUCCAUUUGGGUCAGUCCUAUUCUGUAUUGGUCACAAUGGACCAACCAGGACAGGACUAUUACAUUGUCACCUCAACGCGUUUCACUUCACCAGUGCUAACAGCAACAUCAAUUCUUCACUACAGCAACUCAGCGGGAGGUGUUUCUGGUCCUCCCCAGGUGGACCAACAAUUGAGAUUGAUUGGUCUCUCAAUCAGGCUCGAUCUGUUAGGCAAAAUUUGACAGCAAGUGGUCCAAGGCCUAAUCCACAAGGUUCUUAUCACUAUGGGUUGGUUAACACCACACGGACAAUUAGACUGGCAAAUUCUGCUCCGAUGAUUAAUGGUAAAAAGAGGUAUGCAGUCAACAGUGUGUCGUUCAUUCCAGCAGACACGCCACUCAAACUAGCAGACUAUUUCAAGAUUCCAGGGGUAUUCAACCUAGGCAGCAUUCAAGAUUACCCCACUGGAGGCGGUGGUUACCUCCAGACCUCUGUCAUGGCUGCUGAUUUCAGAGCCUACAUUGAAAUUGUGUUCGAGAAUCCAGAAGACACUGUCCAGUCAUGGCACAUUGAUGGCCAUAUCUUCUUUGUUGUUGGGAUGGAUGGCGGACAAUGGUCAGCUGCAAGCAGAUUAAACUACAACUUAAGAGAUGGAAUUUCGCGUUGUACAAUUCAGGUAUAUCCAAGAUCAUGGACAGCUUUAUACAUGCCAUUAGACAAUGUGGGAAUGUGGAACAUUAGAUCAGAGAAUUGGGCUCGGCAGUAUUUAGGCCAGCAAUUCUACCUUCGCGUUUAUUCACCUGUCAAUUCAUGGAGAGAUGAGUAUCCAAUUCCAAUAGGUGCUCUUCUCUGUGGCCGUGCAUCUGGACGCAAGACUCGCCCACUCUAAGGAACGAAUUCUAUCAGCUUAACCAGUCACGAAAGGGUGACUGAUCGAUCUUCGAAGAGUUAUGGCAAACAAUUUUAAAGGGGAAGUAGCAGAAAACUGCUCUUACUCUGAUCAGCACUUGUCUUUUUUGUUUAUCAUUUCAUUUUAGGAUUACUUGUGAGAUUAUUGGUUGCAGCAUGAGAAGAAAAGUAAUCUCUAUUCAUUUUGUAAAACUCAAUUCAUGAAGAA